UCGCUUCAACUCUUCCCGUUGUGCAAAGAACCUCAGUGUUAAGUUUCUGUGGAUUGUUUGAUGCUUUUACUGAUUCUGGAAGAUAAUUGCAGAACCAUCUGUUCAUGGGGUUUCGGUAGACAUGCAGUUCGUCAAAGUCACAAAUGGUUUUGGUUUCUAUAAUUCUAUUUUAUUUCAAGACUCAAUGUUUUUCUUUAAAGAAUAAUGUGCGACAGACCUAGCUAGAAAAACAGUUGAAAGUUUCGUGGUAGUGAUACUGUGGAUGCUGGUAGUCGCUAGUUGUCGAUUACUAGCUUUGGGUACAAUCUUUUAUUGGCACAUUUGCGGCAUAGUUUCUUAGCUAGCUUCGUGUUGUAUCUAGUUCUUGUUUCCAGGUUGCAGGGACUAGUUUCCUAACAGUAUGCUAGUGUUUCCUAGUGUAAUUUCAACAUGGUUCCUCUGUCAGUGUCUAUAUUG